CCUUAGACUGGGAUAACUUGGGAAACUGAGGAUAAUACCGGAUAGGCAAUUAUUCCUGUAAUGGUUUUUUGUUUAAAUGUUUUUUCGCCUAAGGAUGAGUCUGCGGCCGAUUAGGUAGUUGGUUAGGUAAUGGCUUACCAAGCCGUUGAUCGGUACGGGUUGUGAGAGCAAGAGCCCGGAGAUGGAACCUGAGACAAGGUUCCAGGCCCUACGGGGUGCAGCAGGCGCGAAACCUCCGCAAUGUGAGAAAUCGCGACGGGGGGAUCCCAAGUGCCAUUCUUAACGGGAUGGCUUUUCAUUAGUGUAAAGAGCUUUUGGAAUAAGAGCUGGGCAAGACCGGUGCCAGCCGCCGCGGUAACACCGGCAGCUCUAGUGGUAACAAUUUUUAUUGGGCCUAAAGCGUCCGUUACCGGUUUAAUAAGUCUCUGGUGAAAUCCUGUAGCUUAACUGUGGGAAUCGCUGGAGAUACUAUUAGACUUGAGACCGGGA
rnacentral:rRNA from 1 species